AAAGACUUACAUCUCUUCGGAGCAUUUUACGAGGUGCUGCAUGGUUGUCGUCAGCUCGUGCCGUGAGGUGUCGGGUUAAGUCCCAUAACGAGCGCAACCCCUACCUUUAGUUGCCAUCAGGUUAAGCUGGGGACGUCUAAAGGAACUGCCUACGCAAGUAGUGAGGAAGGCGGGGAUGACGUCAAAUCAGCACGGCCCUUACGUCCAGGGCUACACACGUGCUACAAUGGCCGAUACAGAGGGCAGCUACCUGGUGACAGGAUGCAAAUCUCCAAAGUCGGUCUCAGUUCGGAUCGGAGUCUGCAACCCGACUCCGUGAAGUUGGAUUCGCUAGUAAUCGCGCAUCAGCCAUGGCGCGGUGAAUACGUUCCCGGGCCUU
rnacentral:rRNA from 1 species